CUACUACGUGCAGCAGCGCGUAUACGUAGGUGCGAGCGUAUCGAUACUGGGCGUAAGCGUGCGCAGCGUUUUGUAGACAGGCGUGAAAUCCCCGGGCUCAACCUGGGAACUGCGCUUGUGACUGCAAGGCUAGAGUAUGGCAGAGGGGGGUGGAAUUCCACGUGUAGCAGUGAAAUGCGUAGAGAUGUGGAGGAACACCAAUGGCGAAGGCAGCCCCCUGGGCCAAUACUGACGCUCAUGCACGAAAGCGUGGGUAGUAAACAGGAUUAGAUACCCUGGUAGUCCACGCCCUAAACGAUGUCAACUAGGUGUUGGGUGGGUAAAACCAUUUAGUACCGUAGCUAACGCGUGAAGUUGACCGCCUGGGGAGUACGGCCGCAAGGUUAAAACUCAAAGGAAUUGACGGGGACCCGCACAAGCGGUGGAUGAUGUGGAUUAAUUCGAUGCAACGCGAAAAACCUUACCUACCCUUGACAUGUCUGGAAUCCUGAAGAGAUUUGGGAGUGCCCGAAAGGGAACCGGAACACAGGUGCUGCAUGGCUGUCGUCAGCUCGUGUCGUGAGAUGUUGGGUUAAGUCCCGCAACGAGCGCAACCCUUGUCGUUAAUUGCCAUCAUUUAGUUGGGCACUUUAACGAGACUGCCGGUGACAAACCGGAGGAAGGUGGGGAUGACGUCAAGUCCUCAUGGCCCUUAUGGGUAGGGCUUCACACGUCAUACAAUGGUCGGUACAGAGGGUUGCCAAGCCGCGAGGUGGAGCCAAUCCCAGAAAGCCGAUCGUAGUCCGGAUCGUAGUCUGCAACUCGACUGCGUGAAGUCGGAAUCGCUAGUAAUCGCGGAUCAGCAUGUCGCGGUGAAUACGUUCCCGGGUCUUGUACACACCGCCCGUCACACCAUGGGAGCGGGUUCCGCCAGAAGUAGGUAGCCUAACCGCAAGGAGGGCGCUUACCACGGCGGGGUUCGUGACUGGGGUGAAGUCGUAACAAGGUAACCAAG
rnacentral:rRNA from 1 species